rnacentral:rRNA from 1 species
GUGGCAGACGGGUGAGUAACGCGUGGGAAUCUACCUAGUUCUGCGGAACAACAGUUGGAAACGACUGCUAAUACCGCAUACGCCCUACGGGGGAAAGAUUUAUCGGAAUUAGAUGAGCCCGCGUAAGAUUAGCUAGUUGGUGGGGUAAUGGCCUACCAAGGCGACGAUCUUUAGCUGGUCUGAGAGGAUGAUCAGCCACACUGGGACUGAGACACGGCCCAGACUCCUACGGGAGGCAGCAGUGGGGAAUAUUGGACAAUGGGCGCAAGCCUGAUCCAGCCAUGCCGCGUGAGUGAUGAAGGCCUUAGGGUUGUAAAGCUCUUUCAGUGGGGAAGAUAAUGACGGUACCCACAGAAGAAGCCCCGGCUAACUUCGUGCCAGCAGCCGCGGUAAUACGAAGGGGGCUAGCGUUGUUCGGAUUUACUGGGCGUAAAGCGCACGUAGGCGGAUUGGUCAGUUAGGGGUGAAAUCCUGGAGCUCAACUCCAGAACUGCCUUUAAUACUGCCAGUCUCGAGUCCGGAAGAGGUAAGUGGAACUCCUAGUGUAGAGGUGGAAUUCGUAGAUAUUAGGAAGAACACCAGUGGCGAAGGCGGCUUACUGGUCCGGUACUGACGCUGA